AACAAAUUCAGUAAAGUAAUCUCUCUAGAAAACCGAUCUAAGCUUUGAAAUUAGAAGAAAGGGAAUUGAUCUCGAAGAAUUAAGGUUUAGAUUGCUAAGAACAAAAAGAGAACUGAAUAAUUGUAUUCAAUAAUGGAUGUCUUACAAUGGAGAAGUCUCUCCCUCUUUAUACAUAUUCAUAGAUCGCAUAAUAUAUUAACUUUCCUUAUGAGACGAACUGAAAUAAGGAAAGUUGCUUUAUCUCUUGCGUCGGCCGCCGGGCGAAGUGGAAGUCGGUUCUUCUCCUUCGAGGCUGGGCUUCCUCUGUCUGAACUGGGCUUAAAUGACCUAAUUGAGUUCUUAACCGGAUUCCCAGUUAAAUAACCAAAUUGUUUUUCUGGUUUAGUUCGGUAUGUUGGGGGUGCUAAAUCCUGCACCAACAUAUCUGCUCGGUUCUUCCCACGAGUACGUAAUUCCUACAACAACAGAUUCUUCUGAUCAUCAUGUACUCCCUCUGUUUUGGUGCAACAAUAAGGAAUUUGAUGUUGAUGGUGGGUGCGACAUAUGCAAAGGCUCAAAUUUUGGUACAGACUAUUACUUCUGUAACUACUGUGAUAAAAAAUUCCAUAGGGAAUGUAUCCAGUCUCCACUAAAAAUUAAUCAUCCCUACCACUCUGAGCAUCCUCUCCAACUUUUCGUUCGUUAUUAUGGGGCUUCCGACAAUAUUGAGUGUUUAUGUUGUAAAAUAUUAGCAAAUGGGUUAAUGUAUCAUUGUACGAUAUGUCAGAUUUUUAUGCAUCCAACAUGUGCGAUGAAACCAAUACCCUUUGUUGUAGACCCACCAAAAAACCAUGUUCAUUCUCUCAUGUUUUUCCCCAGACAAACUUGCUUAACUUGUAACCUUUGUGGUUGGCUGAGACAAGUUUGUCCCACCUACAUUUGUGUCAGAUGCAACUUUGUAUCUCAUGCUGAUUGUAUGAAUCUCCCACACAUCAUCAAGAUAUCAUGUCACCACCACCGUAUCUCCUUCACUCUUUCUUUUCCAUCAAGAUCAGAACGGUUUUGUGGAGUUUGUCGUCAAAGUAUUAACGGUGAUUAUGGUGCGUAUACUUGUGACACGUGUAGCGAUUAUGUUGUUCAUCCAAUAUGUGCUACAUGGAAGAAUGUGUGGGAUGGAAAAGAACUCGAAGGUGUACCAGAAGAAGAUGAUAUAACACAAGAUGUUGGGCAGUUCGAAAUGAUAUCUGAAGGAGUGAUACUUUAUUUUCUUCAUGACCAUCAUCUCCGGCUCGAGGUCAAUAUGCUAUAUGACGAGAAUAAAUUUUGUCAAGCGUGUGUCCUUCCUAUCUAUGAAGGUAACUUGUAUUCAUGUAUGGAGUGUGAGUUCAUCCUCCAUGAAACAUGUGCUAAGGCUCCCCGUAGAAUUCAACAUGCCUUGCAUCUUCAUCCACUCAAAAUGAAGCAGUUUCACAAUAGAGAAUUCUCGAGUUGUGAUGCUUGUGGUCGUAUACAUAAUGGCUUUGGCUAUGGGUGCAAUUGCAAAGAUGAAGACUGCUUUAAUCUAGAUGUAAGGUGUGCUUCAAUUUCUGAGCCGUUUGAUUACAAAGGUCAUGAACAUCCCUUAUUCAUAUCUUUAAACCAAGGAGUAGAACCUAUGUGUGACGUAUGCAAAAGAAGAUGUCUUAAAGAAUUAAAUUGCAUGAAAUGCAAUUUAAUUGUAUGUUUCAGGUGUGUUACCUUACCAUACAAAGCAAAAUAUCAGCAUUACGACACACAUUCUCUCACGUUGUUAUGGGGUGAAGAAGUAAGCGAGAAAAAUUUGUGUGAGGUGUGCGAACGUAAUUUACAAGAUACGGGAGCAGAAGCGUUGUGUAACUUGUGUUACGGGUGCAACGAAUGCUACACAGCUUUUCAUAUUGAAUGCGUAAUUGGUGCAGACCAAUACAUGAAGCCCUAUAGUUACUUAGCAAGGGGAUCGGAGAAUGAUGUUCAGGCUCUUCCCAAACGUCAUAUUUCUCGACCAUUAAUAUGCGUUUCUUGUAAGAACCGUUGUCAAGGUAAAAUAUUUAAGACCUUCUCCAUCGGGAGGUUCAUAGAGGGGAUUUUAAUGUUUUGGUGAAAAAAAAUAAAUCAAAACAAAAGAAAAAUGGUAAGGGAGCCUCUUAUAUAGUAUAUCCAAUUUUGAUUUAAGAGGUGAUAUGUGUCGUCCUUCUAUAGGCAAACAAAAUAAUAGAAAAGGGAAAAACAAAAUUGGAUCGAUCAAAUUUUAUUUCUUUUCUCCUCUCUCUCUCGCGUUAUAACUCCCGAAUCGACAAAGUAAGAAGAUGGAAUUGAAGGAUAUGGAAUCAGAGGAGGUUGGGGUCGGAGGAGAUUGAAUCGGCGGAGGAGAUAUGGAAUCAGAGGAGGUUGCGCUUAGAGGCCGUGGCAGAUGUAAACAGAGCAAUUGAGUUGGAUCCUUCACUGACCAAAGUUUAUCUAAGAACAGGGGAUUUGAUGUUGAUUUCUGCAACCAUACGUAUAAUGGCAUAAUGCCGGGUGGAUGUAGUCCCUCUGACAAACUCUUUGCAAAGGUUGGACUCCGUUGUUACAAUCUUGAAAAGGGAAAGAAGUUAGAAUUCAAGAGUCUAGUCAAAGUUAACUCAGAAAUCGGUUCACUUUACAAUUCUUAUUCAACAUCCGGGGUGAUGGAUCUUAUCAACAACUCAAUUCACACUUUCCAAACUUUAGUCACGGAUGCAGGGUAUGAGAGAACAAAGCGCGUUUGAUACUCGUCACAAAAAUAUGCAGGAUCAAGCCUCAAGUGCCAGGCAUUGGAGAUGCCACUGUCUUUGGGGACUUGGAUGCUAUAGAUAACUUCUAUAAAGGUGAUAUGCCAGAUUGGCCAC